CACGUAGGGCGCGAGCGUUGUCCGGAAUUAUUGGGCGUAAAGAGCUCGUAGGCGGUCUGUCGCGUCGGCUGUGAAAUCCCGGAGCUCAACUCCGGGUCUGCAGUCGAUACGGGCAGACUGGAGUUCGGCAGGGGAGACUGGAAUUCCUGGUGUAGCGGUGAAAUGCGCAGAUAUCAGGAGGAACACCGGUGGCGAAGGCGGGUCUCUGGGCCGAUACUGACGCUGAGACACGAAAGCGUGGGUAGCAAACAGG
rnacentral:rRNA from 1 species